GACGAACGCUGGCGGCGUGCUUAACACAUGCAAGUCGAACGGAAAGGCCCUGCUUUUGUGGGGUGCUCGAGUGGCGAACGGGUGAGUAACACGUGAGUAACCUGCCCUUGACUUUGGGAUAACUUCAGGAAACUGGGGCUAAUACCGGAUAGGAGCUCCUGCUGCAUGGUGGGGGUUGGAAAGUUUCGGCGGUUGGGGAUGGACUCGCGGCUUAUCAGCUUGUUGGUGGGGUAGUGGCUUACCAAGGCUUUGACGGGUAGCCGGCCUGAGAGGGUGACCGGCCACAUUGGGACUGAGAUACGGCCCAGACCCCUACGGGAGGCAGCAGUGGGGAAUAUUGCACAAUGGGCGGAAGCCUGAUGCAGCAACGCCGCGUGCGGGAUGACGGCCUUCGGGUUGUAACCCGCUUUCGCCUGUGACGAAGCGUGAGUGACGGUAAUGGGUAAAGAAGCACCGGCUAACUACGUG
rnacentral:rRNA from 1 species